UAUGGACGUCCAGGAGUCUGAGCUCCCGC
rnacentral:sRNA from 1 species